GGGAUUGCCCUAGUAACGGCGAGUGAAGCGGCAACAGCUCAAAUUUGAAAUCUGGCUCUUUCAGAGUCCGAGUUGUAAUUUGCAGAGGGCGCUUUGGCUUUGGCAGCGGUCCAAGUUCCUUGGAACAGGACGUCACAGAGGGUGAGAAUCCCGUACGUGGUCGCUAGCUAUUGCCGUGUAAAGCCCCUUCGACGAGUCGAGUUGUUUGGGAAUGCAGCUCUAAAUGGGAGGUAAAUUUCUUCUAAAGCUAAAUAUUGGCCAGAGACCGAUAGCGCACAAGUAGAGUGAUCGAAAGAUGAAAAGCACUUUGGAAAGAGAGUCAAACAGCACGUGAAAUUGUUGAAAGGGAAGCGCUUGCAGCCAGACUUGCUUGCAGUUGCUCAUCCGGGCUUUUGCCCGGUGCACUCUUCUGUAGGCAGGCCAGCAUCAGUUUGGGCGGUGGGAUAAAGGUCUCUGUCACGUACCUCUCUUCGGGGAGGCCUUAUAGGGGAGACGACAUACCACCAGCCUAGACUGAGGUCCGCGCAUCUGCUAGGAUGCUGGCGUAAUGGCUGUAAGCGGCCCGUCUUGAAACACGGACCAAGGAGUCUAACAUCUAUGCGAGUGUUUGGGUGUCAAGCCCGAGCGCGUAAUGAAAGUGAACGGAGGUGGGAACCCGCAAGGGUGCACCAUCGACCGAUCCUGAAGUUUACGGAAGGAUUUGAGUAAGAGCAUGGCUGUUGGGACCCGAAAGAUGGUGAACUAUGCUUGAAUAGGGUGAAGCCAGAGGAAACUCUGGUGGAGGCUCGCAGCGGUUCUGACGUGCAAAUCGAUCGUCAAAUUUGGGCAUAGGGG
rnacentral:rRNA from 2 species